UAGCAUAUCAAUAAGCGGAGGAAAAGAAACCAACAGGGAUUGCCCUAGUAACGGCGAGUGAAGCGGCAACAGCUCAAAUUUGAAAUCUGGCUCUUUCAGAGUCCGAGUUGUAAUUUGCAGAGGGCGCUUUGGCGUUGGCAGCGGUCCAAGUUCCUUGGAACAGGACGUCACAGAGGGUGAGAAUCCCGUACGUGGUCGCUGGCCUUCGCCGUGUAAAGCCCCUUCGACGAGUCGAGUUGUUUGGGAAUGCAGCUCUAAAUGGGAGGUAAAUUUCUUCUAAAGCUAAAUACUGGCCAGAGACCGAUAGCGCACAAGUAGAGUGAUCGAAAGAUGAAAAGCACUUUGGAAAGAGAGUCAAAUAGCACGUGAAAUUGUUGAAAGGGAAGCGCUUGCAGCCAGACUUGCCUGUAGUUGCUCAUCCGGGCUUUUGCCCGGUGCACUCUUCUGCGGGCAGGCCAGCAUCAGUUUGGGCGGUUGGAUAAAGGUCUCUGUCAUGUACCUCUCUUCGGGGAGGCCUUAUAGGGGAGACGUCAUGCAACCAGCCUGGACUGAGGUCCGCGCAUUUUGCUAGGAUGCUGGCGUAAUGGCUGUAAGCGGCCCGUCUUGAAACACGGACCAAGGAGUCUAACAUCUAUGCGAGUGUUUGGGUGUCAAGCCCGAACGCGUAAUGAAAGUGAACGGAGGUGGGACCCCAUUAGGGUGCACCAUCGACCGAUCCUGAUGUCUUCGGAUGGAUUUGAGUAAGAGCAUGGCUGUUGGGACCCGAAAGAUGGUGAACUAUGCUUGAAUAGGGUGAAGCCAGAGGAAACUCUGGUGGAGGCUCGCAGCGGUUCUGACGUGCAAAUCGAUCGUCAAAUUUGGGCAUAGGGGCGAAAGACUAAUCGAACUAUCUAGUAGCUGGUUCCUGCGA
rnacentral:rRNA from 1 species